rnacentral:antisense_RNA from 1 species
CUUGACCGAGCCGAGCAGCACCGGCCGGGCCGGGUCACGGUCGCGGCCAUAGGUGGCCAGCAGCGCUUGUGCCUC